rnacentral:rRNA from 1 species
AUUGAACGCUGGCGGCAGGCCUAACACAUGCAAGUCGAGCGAGCGGCGGACGGGUGAGUAAUGUAUGGGGACUGCCCGAUAGAGGGGGAUAACUACUGGAAACGGUAGCUAAUACCGCAUACUAGCGGAUAACCCAUAUGGGAGUAGCUAGUAGGGGAGGUAAUGGCUCACAUAGGCGACGAUCCCUAGCUGGUCUGAGAGGAUGGUCAGCCACACUUGUACUGAUACACUGCCCAGACGCCUACGGAGGCAGCAGUGGGGAAUAUUGCACCAUGGGCGCAAGCCUGAUGCUGCCAUGCCGCGUGUAUGAAGAAGGCCCUAGGUUUGUAAAGUACUUUCAGUCGGGAGGCGUUACCGACAGAAGAAGCACCGGCUAACUCCGUGCCAGCCGCCGCGGUAAUUC